GAUGAACGCUGGCGGCGUGCCUAAUACAUGCAAGUCGAGCGAACGGACGAGAAGCUUGCUUCUCUGAUGUUAGCGGCGGACGGGUGAGUAACACGUGGAUAACCUACCUAUAAGACUGGGAUAACUUCGGGAAACCGGAGCUAAUACCGGAUGAUAUUUUGAACCGCAUGGUUCAAAAGUGAAAGACGGUCUUGCUGUCACUUAUAGAUGGAUCCGCGCUGCAUUAGCUAGUUGGUAAGGUAACGGCUUACCAAGGCAACGAUGCAUAGCCGACCUGAGAGGGUGAUCGGCCACACUGGAACUGAGACACGGUCCAGACUCCUACGGGAGGCAGCAGUAGGGAAGCUUCCGCAAUGGGCGAAAGCCUGACGGAGCAACGCCGCGCGAGUGAUGAAGGUCUUCGGAUCGUAAAACUCUGUUAUUAGGGAAGAACAUAUGUGUAAGUAACUGUGCACAUCUUGACGGUACCUAAUCAGAAAGCCACGGCUAACUACGUG
rnacentral:rRNA from 1 species